GGAGGUGGUGUUUUUUUUGGCUUUCCUAGCUCUAGACAACGAUAGGUCAAGUUCUUGGCACCACAUACGAGGGCAGUGGUUCUGGUUACAUUAAUCCGAACUUCAAUUUGCAGCCAGGCCAGUUGAAAGUCUUAAUAAUGGCCAUGGAUUUAUGCAUAUCAAGUUCCGUGAUGGAUGGCCCUUAUGAGCACAGAUCCAAGAAAAGGUGGUCCUCUGUUCUUCAUGGUGAUAUGUAGCAGAUCCAAUAUAUUUGGAUAAAAAGGAAGAAGAAGAAGCAGGGGUCGUGUAUGUAUGUAUAUAACUUUAAUGGGCUGGCUAGCCUUUGGAUGAUGAUUGAGGUGAUUGCUGGACUGGAUUCCAGUCGAAGAGAUAUACGUAGAUAGCCAGGUCGUCUUGAUGCUGGUUUGUGGACAGGAUUGCUUUCGUUAAUGGCAAAUCGUGGUCCAAGUUAGAUGGUGAUAUGUAGCAGAUCCAAUAAAAUGAGAAUUGGUCACAUAUUU
rnacentral:lncRNA from 1 species